AUUAGAUCAUGCACACUGCUCAUCUGCUGCGUGCUGCUGGGCACAGUGCAGUUGGCUGAUCUGCAAGUCUAUCCGUGUGUCCUGUUGAGAGAGGUUCCUACUGUCUCUGGAAGAAAACAAGUUUGUCCAAGGAACAGCAGCAGCCUUUGGAGUAUGGAAAACCACAGAAGAAACUGGAACCGUCUAUGAAAGUCAACCCAAGCACCUCUUCCAACACCUGGGGCUACGGGUGACCUUCUAGGCUUUGCUGUUACACCAUUUCAGGAGCCCUCCUUCCCCCUGGGGCUGGCUCUGCUUGGAAGCGGCGGAGCGCUGAUGUGUUGAGCGCAGAGAGGACAGCAAGCUGUGGUUCAUUUUUAGAGUACAGGAUGCUCUGGUGCCAUAAUCAGUCCCUUGAAGGAGAGCAAAGAGGAGAAAGCGUAG
ensembl:lncRNA